rnacentral:rRNA from 1 species
UGUUAGUGAUAGCACAAGACAUAACGGAACAUUCUGGAAAGGGUGGCCAUAGCGGGUGAUAGCCCCGUACGUGAAAUGACCUGUGUGGUACUGAGCUAACGAAAAGUAGGGCGGGACACGAGAAAUCCUGUCUGAAUAUGGGGGGACCAUCCUCCAAGGCUAAAUACUCAUCAUUGACCGAUAGUGAACUAGUACCGUGAGGGAAAGGCGAAAAGAACCCCGGGAGGGGAGUGAAAUAGAUCCUGAAACCGUGUGCUUACAAAAAGUAGGAGCCCGCAAGGGUGACUGCGUACCUUUUGUAUAAUGGGUCAGCGACUUACAUUCAGUGGCAAGGUUAACCGAAUAGGGAAGCCGUAGAGAAAUCGAGUCCGAAUAGGGGCGAAUCAGUCGCUGGGUGUAGACCCGAAACCAAGUGAUCUAUCCAUGGCCAGGAUGAAGGUGCCGUAACAGGUACUGGAGGUCCGAACCGACUAGUGUUGCAAAACUAGCGGAUGAGCUGUGGAUAGGGGUGAAAGGCUAAACAAACUUGGAAAUAGCUGGUU